GCUACAGGCUUAACACAUGCAAGUCGAGCGGCAGCAUCAUCAAAGCUUGCUUUGAUGGAUGGCGACCGGCGCACGGGUGAGUAACACGUAUCCAACCUGCCGACAACACUGGGAUAGCCUUUCGAAAGAAAGAUUAAUACCGGAUGGCAUAGUUUUCCCGCAUGGGAUAAUUAUUAAAGAAUUUCGGUUGUCGAUGGGGAUGCGUUCCAUUAGGCAGUUGGCGGGGUAACGGCCCACCAAACCAACGAUGGAUAGGGGUUCUGAGAGGAAGGUCCCCCACAUUGGAACUGAGACACGGUCCAAACUCCUACGGGAGGCAGCAGUGAGGAAUAUUGGUCAAUGGACGAGAGUCUGAACCAGCCAAGUAGCGUGAAGGAUGACUGCCCUAUGGGUUGUAAACUUCUUUUAUACGGGAAUAAAGUGAGCCACGUGUGGCUUUUUGUAUGUACCGUAUGAAUAAGGAUCGGCUAACUCCGUGCCAGCAGCCGCGGUAAUACGGAGGAUCCGAGCGUUAUCCGGAUUUAUUGGGUUUAAAGGGAGCGUAGGCGGGUUGUUAAGUCAGUUGUGAAAGUUUGCGGCUCAACCGUAAAAUUGCAGUUGAUACUGGCGACCUUGAGUGCAACAGAGGUAGGCGGAAUUCGUGGUGUAGCGGUGAAAUGCUUAGAUAUCACGAAGAACUCCGAUUGCGAAGGCAGCUCACUGGACUGCAACUGACACUGAUGCUCGAAAGCGUGGGUAUCAAACAGGAUUAGAUACCCUGGUAGUCCACACAGUAAACGAUGAAUACUCGCUGUUUGCGAUAUACAGUAAGCGGCCAAGCGAAAGCAUUAAGUAUUCCACCUGGGGAGUACGCCGGCAACGGUGAAACUCAAAGGAAUUGACGGGGGCCCGCACAAGCGGAGGAACAUGUGGUUUAAUUCGAUGAUACGCGAGGAACCUUACCCGGGCUUAAAUUGCAUUUGAAUAUAUUGGAAACAGUAUAGCCGUAAGGCAAAUGUGAAGGUGCUGCAUGGUUGUCGUCAGCUCGUGCCGUGAGGUGUCGGCUUAAGUGCCAUAACGAGCGCAACCCUUAUCUUUAGUUACUAACAGGUCAUGCUGAGGACUCUAGAGAGACUGCCGUCGUAAGAUGUGAGGAAGGUGGGGAUGACGUCAAAUCAGCACGGCCCUUACGUCCGGGGCUACACACGUGUUACAAUGGGGGGUACAGAAGGCAGCUACCUGGUGACAGGAUGCUAACCCCAAAAGCCUCUCUCAGUUCGGAUCGAAGUCUGCAACCCGACUUCGUGAAGCUGGAUUCGCUAGUAAUCGCGCAUCAGCCAUGGCGCGGUGAAUACGUUCCCGGGCCUUGUACACACCGCCCGUCAAGCCAUGAAAGCCGGGGGUACCUAAAGUACGUAACCGCAAGGAGCGUCCUAGGGUAAAAC
rnacentral:rRNA from 1 species